rnacentral:rRNA from 1 species
UACGUAGGGGGCUAGCGUUGUUCGGAAUCACUGGGCGUAAAGCGCACGUAGGCGGAUGUGUCAGUCAGGGGUGAAAUCCCGGAGCUCAACUUCGGAACUGCCUCUGAUACAGCACGUCUUGAGUCCGAUAGAGGUGGGUGGAAUUCCUAGUGUAGAGGUGAAAUUCGUAGAUAUUAGGGAAGAACACCGGUGGCGAAGGCGGCCCACUGGAUCGGUACUGACGCUGAGGUGCGAAAGCGUGGGGGAGCAAACAGG